GGUGUAGUUCAGUUGGUUAGAGCGUCAGAUUGUGGUUCUGAAUGUCGUGGGUUCGAGUCCCACCUC
rnacentral:tRNA from 1 species